UGAGUAACCUGCCCUUGACUCUGGGAUAAGCCUGGGAAACCGGGUCUAAUACUGGAUAUGACUGCCGGCCGCAUGGUCUGGUGGUGGAAAGCUUUAUUGCGGUUUUGGAUGGACUCGCGGCCUAUCAGCUAGUUGGUGGGGUAAUGGCCUACCAAGGCGACGACGGGUAGCUGGUCUGAGAGGAUGGCCAGCCACAUUGGGACUGCGACACGGCCCAGACCUCCGUACGGGAGCAG
rnacentral:rRNA from 1 species